rnacentral:tRNA from 1 species
GCCUUCGUAGAGUAGUAUCCAGCGCGCUGGGUGCGUAUUCCAGAGGUCCGUGGUUCGAAUCCCGGCGAAGGCG